AUCCCUGUAGCUCAGUUGGUAGAGCAUGGUGUUUGCAACGCCAGGGUUGUGGGUUCAAUUCCCACGGGGGGCC
rfam:Salmo salar isolate Sally breed double haploid chromosome ssa28, whole genome shotgun sequence.